rnacentral:rRNA from 1 species
GAUCACCUACGGGGGGCAGCAGUGGGGGAUAUUGCACAAUGGGGGAAACCCUGAUGCAGCGACGCCGCGUGGGUGAAGAAGCGCCUCGGCGCGUAAAGCCCUGUCAGCAGGGAAGAAAAUGACGGUACCUGAAGAAGAAGCCCCGGCUAACUACGUGCCAGCAGCCGCGGUAAUACGUAGGGGGCAAGCGUUAUCCGGAUUUACUGGGUGUAAAGGGGGCGCAGACGGCGACGCAAGCCAGGAGUGAAAGCCCGGGGCCCAACCCCGGGCCUGGUCUUGGAACUGCGUGGCUAGAGUGCAGGGGG